GAAAGGCCGUAAGACACUUGCGGCUGGAUGUUUUCAUACCGGACAUCCCAAUUAGG
rnacentral:ncRNA from 1 species